rnacentral:lncRNA from 1 species
AUGGGGCUGCGGGCGAAAUUUUCCGAGCCUCCUCGCCUGCGGCGCCCCCUCCUCAGCUCCCUGAGCGCUCCCCUCCCCCGGGGCCCGCACACCCAGCCGAGGGAUGCAGGGUGCGCGGGGAUAUGCGAGGAUGCGCGGCGCUGCAGGCGCGGCCCAGGGCCCCUCGGGGGUCGCGUCACCGAGGAAGCGAAGCCGGGAGCUGGAUGGUCAAUGCCUUCCGCCCUGGGGGUAACAGUCCCCCUUCUCCAGCCCAGACCUCCCCAAAGCGCGCGCGGACCUCCCAAAGGAGCCGGGGGUGGGGUCCCCAAGCACCCCGCGCUCUCACCGCUUCUCCUCUGCUCUGCCUUCUUCUCCGGCUCAAGCUCCAGCCCGGUCGCCUCCUGGGCUCCCCCCGGAGUGGGAGGGAGCCUCGGUCCCGCCUCCGCGCCCUUUCUCUCCCAGGCCGCGCACCAGGGCGCUGGGCUUUCGGCGUGCGGACCUACUACCCUGCCGACCGACGGACGCGUGUGCCUGCUGCCGGACGCCGGAAUCCCGCGGCAGGGCUCUGGCUUUCAGCAGAUUCUUCUCCACGGAGGUUGUGACCCCAAAGAUUCAGAGUUGAUGCUGUAACACCCUUAUGUUACAGACAAGGAUCUGAGGAUUCCGGGAUGGAGAAGAAACUGGCUCAAAGUUACAUGGAAAUUUAGCAGCAAGUUGGAAAGAACCCAUGACUCCAGACUGUAUAAUGCUAUUUAAGGUCUGACUAAAUGUCACCUCCUGCAGGAAGCCUUCCCUGAACUUGUCCCAUCUUCCUCUGUGUUCCUUUGCACAUACCUUGAUGUGACACCCUAUAUCACAAUGAGCCACUUCAAUGGAAUUUGUCCCUGCUAGAAUGAGCCAUCCAUGAGAUCGGAGACUGUGUCUUACUCAUCUUUGUGUGGUGUGGCUGGUGUUUAUUACUUAAUCGCUAUCGUUUAUUGAGUGCCUAUUAUGUGCCAAGGCACUUUUGUAAUGCUCAUUCCAUUUCACAGUUGUCCCACAAGGUAGGUAAUAUUGUCCUCAUUUCACAUAUGGAAAAAAAUCUCCUGGAGCUCAGAGGUUUGCCCAAGUUCCCACAGAGAGUGAGUGGUAGUGCUGAGAUUUGAAUCCCAAACCCUUUUGCACCUCCCACUUCACCAGUGGUGUUUUUUCAGUCGUUAAUGAGUAGCAUCCCGCUGAGGAUCUGGAGCAGCAGGGCCCUAAUGGCCCCCUCUCCACUGGGCUCUGGAGCAUCUGGAAGUACAAAGCCCUGCUCCCAGGGCUUCCUGGGAGAAAAGGAUUCUAAGGAGGUGAAAGGAAUCUUUGAGGAGCUCACAAACCCCUGGGGAGAUGGCUCAGACACCAGUAGAGAAGCCAGUAGAACAAAAGCAAUCCAUCAUGAACUCUUUAAAAUUUACUGUAUGCCUGCAUGACAUGCCUAGCAGAGGAAUCCCAGGAUUUUCUCUUCUGUGUGUUUCUGUCUUGCUUCCUUGCGGCCAUAAUACCAGCUGAGGUCGUCAGUACAAUUACUUCCAACUGAUGAGAUGGGAGAAGACAAUUCUGCUACUUUUCUAGAUCUUUGAGUUACACAUCCAACCUGGGUCUGACUAUGCUUCUUUAACCUGUAUAUGAGGGAACUUCCAUAUGUGUGGGUGCAGCCCUAAAAAGCAAAAACAAAGAAACAUUGUUGGUGGGCAUGUGAAUUGGUGCAACCAUGUUGGGAAAUAGUCUGGCUUUAUCUCCUAAAGCUGAGCAGAUACAUAUCCUAUGACCCAGCAAUUUUCUUUUCUUUUUUUUUUUUUUUUUUUUUUUUNNNNNNNNNNNNNNNNNNNNNNNNNNNNNNNNNNNNNNNNNNNNNNNNNNNNNNNNNNNNNNNNNNNNNNNNNNNNNNNNNNNNNNNNNNNNNNNNNNNNNNNNUUUUUUUUUUUUUUUUUUUUGCUUUUUUAGGGCCACACCUGUGGCAUAUGGAUGUCCCCAAGCUAGGGGUCUAAUUGGAGCUACAGCUCCCAGCCUACACCACAGCCAUAGCAACACGCUGGAUCCGAGCCGCAUCUGCGACCUACACCACAGCUCAUGACAAUGCCAGAUUCUUAACCCACUGAGCAAGGUCAGGGAUUGAACCCUCAACCUCGUGAUUCCUAGUCGGAUUCACUUCCAUUGUGCCACGAUGGGAACUCCUAACCUAGCAAUUCAAAUCCAAAGUACCCACUGUGGAAAAAUUCUUGCCCAUCUACACCAAGAACUACAUGGAAGACUAUUCACGGGGGUGCUGGCCACAGUAGCCCAAAUUGGGAAACACCCACGUCCCCAUCUAUGGGAGAGCAGAUGAAUAAAUUCCCAUGAUAAAAUAUUACUUGGCA